UGGGGAAUAUUGCGCAAUGGGCGGAAGCCUGACGCAGCGACGCCGCGUGGGGGAUGAAGGCCUUCGGGUUGUAAACCCCUUUCAGCAGGGACGAAGCGGAAGUGACGGUACCUGCAGAAGAAGCGCCGGCUAACUACGUGCCAGCAGCCGCGGUAACACGUAGGGCGCAAGCGUUGUCCGGAAUUAUUGGGCGUAAAGAGCUCGUAGGUGGUCUGUUGCGUCCGCUGUGAAAACUCAGGGCUUAACCCUGAGCCUGCAGUGGAUACGGGCAGACUAGAGGUAGGUAGGGGAGAAUGGAAUUCCUGGUGUAGCGGUGAAAUGCGCAGAUAUCAGGAGGAACACCGGUGGCGAAGGCGGUUCUCUGGGCCUUACCUGACACUGAGGAGCGAAAGCGUGGGGAGCGAACAGGAUUAGAUACCCCCGUAGUCC
rnacentral:rRNA from 1 species